UUUUUAAAUUGCUGUGGUAUUUUGACUAUACGAAGGUAUUGAAAUAAGAUUUUAAAUGAGUGCUAAGAGAAUGGUUGAACAAUUAAAGACUUUCUUUAUUUAAAAAAUUAAAUUUAAUUUUUUAAAGUGCAAAAGCAAAAAUGAAGAUUUGGGACAAGAAGACCCUAUGAAUUUUUAUUUAUUUAUAAUUUUUUAAAAUUAUAAAUAAAUUUGAUUGGGGCGAUGGAUAAAGAAUAGAUAUCUUUAUUUAAAUUUUAAAAAAUUAGUUCCGUUUAUAGCGAUUAAAUGAAAAAAAUACUCUAGGGAUAACAGCGUAAUAAUUUUGGAUAGUUCAUAUAGAUAAAAUAGUUUGCGACCUCGAUGUUGGAUUAGGAUUCUUUUUCGGUGCAGAAAUUGAUAAAAAGAAGUUUGUUCAACUUUUAAAUUCCUACUUGAUCUGAGUUCAGACCGG
rnacentral:rRNA from 1 species